rnacentral:rRNA from 1 species
UACGAAGGAUGCGAGCGUUAUCCGGAUUUAUUGGGUUUAAAGGGUGCGUAGGCGGUCUUAUCAGUAAGUGGUGAAAUCUUGUCGCUUAACGACAAACGUGCCAUUGAUACUGUAGGACUUGAGUACAGAUGCCGUUGGCGGAAUGUGUCAUGUAGCGGUGAAAUGCAUAGAUAUGACACAGAACACCGAUUGCGAAGGCAGCUGACGAAACUGUAACUGACGCUGAUGCACGAAAGCGUGGGGAUCAAACAGG